rnacentral:piRNA from 1 species
UGCGUGCUUCUACGUCAGGUA